rnacentral:lncRNA from 1 species
UGCACUGAUGGGGCCAGAGAGCCGUGAGUGCACAGACAUGGGGAGUUGGACUGGGGACACCCCACGCUGUGAAGCUAUCACUUGCCCGGUGCUCAGUGCUCCAGACCGAGGAAACAUGAACUGCUCCAAUCUGAACGGGAACUUUGCCUUCAGCUCCAUGUGUGUCUUCUCCUGCGAGACAGGGUUUGCGCUGACAGGACUGGAGAGCCAAGAGUGCACAGCCAUGGGGACUUGGACUGGGGACACUCCACGAUGCAAAGCCAUCGCCUGCCCGGUGCUCAGCGCUCCAGACUGGGGACAGCUGAACUGCUCCCACCU